UACAUCUGAAAUGUUAAGAUACAUUUUCGGAAACACGACAUGCAUUAUAAACUGACUGGCCUUUUGGUAUGGUAUUUUAUGGUAUGGUACGCUGAACACGCUCAAGACUGGAGAGAUGAUCGCGGACUUCAGGAAGCAUCCUUCGCCACAGCUGCCCCUCACACUGUUCAACUGCCCUGUGUCAACUGUCGAAACCUUCAAGGUCCUGGGAAUUACAGUUUCUCAGGACCUGAAGUGGGAGAUCAACAUCAACUCCAUCCUCAAAAAGGCCCAGUAGAGGAUGUACUUCCUGCGGCUUCUGAGGAAACCCGGCCUGCCACGGGAACUGUUGAGGCAAUUCUACACAGCAGUCAUCGAAUCAGUCCUGACAAACUCAGACGGCAACGGUCAAUCAGGACUGCUGGAAAAAUAUGGCGGUACGCUGCCAGAACUAAGACAAGAGCGUGCAGAAUCCUCUUGGAUCCUCCACAUCCUGGUCACCACCUCUUCCAGCUCCUUCCCUCAGCGCGGACGAGGGGAAGUGCAGCAACAGCAGCAGGAGGAGCGGCGGCGGCGACUGUGGCUCAAAGCCCGGAUGGAGCAGGCAGCCAUUGGGGAAGUGAAGUGUACUGGACUUGAACGUAACAGGGCUCUCUCUGGGAGUAAAAAGCGAGCAGGAAAGACAUUCAUGUUCCAGGAGAUCCAUUGUGUGACUCAUUGCAGUAAGUUGAAAACUCUCAGAAGGACUUUUUUUUUUUUUUUUUUUUUUUUGGAAGGGGUGUUCCGGCUUACUGGACGCGUGCAAGUUGAGGAAAGGCGCACAGCGGAAAAGGAGCAGCACAGCUGAGCUACUAGCAACGCGCUAAGUGGAGCUCGGCAGCCAGGGGAACUCGCUUUGCACACCACGGAGCUUGAAAUCCAGUCAGCGGGCCGGCCUCUGUGCGAAUCCAGGGACUUGCUUCAUGAAUUAUGUCUACCACAAGCAUUGACCCUCAGCGAUCAAAGGGACAAGCAUCUAAAGUGCAAAAUGGUUCACUGCAUCAGAAGGAGACAGUACAUGACAAUGACUUUGAGCCGUACCUCACUGGUCAAUCAACUCAGAACAACAGCUACCAGUCCAUCACCGACCCUUACCUGUCCAGUUACUACGCUCCCUCGAUCGGCUUUCCAUACCCCCUGAGCGAGGCUCCUUGGUCCACAGGCGGCGACCCUCCAAUUCCAUACCUCACCCCCUACGGACCCUUGAGCAAUGGAGACCAUCAUUUCAUGCCGGACACUGUGUUCGGGCAGCCGGGCGGCCUGGGAAGCAGCAUUUACCCCCACAGGUUUAAUUUUUUCCCCGAAAACCCCGCUUUCUCUGCUUGGGGUACAAGUGGCUCCCAGGGCCAGCAGACUCAAAGUUCAGCCUACGGUGGCAGCUACAGCUACCCGCCCAGCUCUCUCGGAGGCACUCUUGUGCCUGAUGGUCAGACGGGUUUUCACAGCGACACGCUCAACAAAGCCCCCGGUAUGAACAGCCUGGAGCAGGGCAUGGUCGGUUUGAAGAUCGGGGGUGAUGUCGCCGGCCAGGCUUCCGCGCUCAAGGCCGUGGGCUCGGUGAUCGGCGGAGCCGCCGUGGCGGCCUCAGGGAACGGAGCCACGCCCAUCGGAAUGCCCCCGCCCAAACCCGCCUCUUGGGCAGCCAUUGCCAGCAAGCCUGCCAAGCCGCAGCAGCUGAAAGCUAAGGUGAAGCCGGGACUGGUCAACCCGGGGGCAACUUUUCCCCCGCCGCCCAUCAAACACAACAUGAACAUUGGCACCUGGGAAAAGGGACCCGCGACCAAAGUGGCCACGACCGCGCUGCAGCAGCAGCUGCCGCCGCCUCUUGGUCUGCCUCAUCCCAUGCCCCACCAAGCCCCCAUGCAGCCUCCCCCUCCCCAGUCUCUGGUGCAGCCUCAGAUGCCACCCAUGUCCUUACAGCACCAACCGCCCCAUCACCAGCACCACCCGCCACCCACUCAGCCCUACCAAAACCACACACAACCCCCGCAAGCCCAAACCCGUUGGGUGGCCCCACGCAACCGCAACCAAGUCUACGGGCAGGGAGGCCCCAGCCACGAUGUUAGCGGGAUGAUGGGCAUGCUCGGUAGCGCAAACUGCGGCUCUCAAACCUGUGCCACCCAGGGACCUGGUGGUGAGUCCCACCCGGUGCUAGAGAAGCUUCGUGCCUCCCACAGUUAUAACCCCAAGGACUUUGAAUGGAACCUGAAGAACGGACGCGUUUUCAUCAUUAAGAGCUACUCUGAGGACGACAUCCAUCGCUCCAUCAAGUACUCCAUCUGGUGCAGCACGGAGCACGGCAACAAGCGACUGGACUCGGCCUUCCGGGCCAUGAACGGCAAAGGGCCUGUGUACCUGCUCUUCAGUGUCAACGGCAGCGGCCAUUUUUGCGGCGUGGCCGAGAUGCGGUCGCCGGUGGACUACGGCACCAGCGCCGGCGUUUGGGCGCAGGACAAGUGGAAGGGCAAGUUUGACGUAGACUGGUUGUUUGUUAAGGACGUGCCUAAUAGCCAGCUGCGUCACAUCCGCCUGGAGAACAACGACAACAAGCCGGUGACCAACUCCCGCGACACCCAGGAGGUUCCUCUGGAGAAGGCCAAGCAGGUGCUCAAGAUCAUCGCCACCUACAAACACACCACGUCCAUCUUUGAUGACUUCUCUCACUAUGAGAAGAGGCAGGAAGAGGAGGAAGAGGUGCGUAAGGUGGGUGUACUUGUCUCAGAAUCCAACCUUUAUGGGGACGUACAGCUGUGUUCAAAAUUCUGGCAGUGUGUUUAAAAGCACGAGGAAAGCUCAAAAUCCCUUUAAUUGUUUGAACCCACAUGCGUUGGGAACACGAGUUUUCAGACAGAAACGUAUGGGGGAAUGUUGGCUGACUUCCUCCUAUACCCACCACACCCACACACACACACACACACACACACACACUGGAGUGGACCUUAUAUGUCGCGUGUGGGGAGUAGCUGGACCCAAGAGCAGGCGGAGGCAGAUGUAAAAUGAUGAACAGUUUAUUGAGCAAAGGUUAUGGAGGUGCUCCUGGAUGUGUUAGCAGGCGGUGGCGUGGACAGAACAGGCGGCUGGCUUGGUGGCAGGAAUGACGUGGGUCAGGAACACAGCCGUGGUUCCACUAGGAGAGGCUGGAAUACUUUGGCGAGGAUUUCCUGGAACAGGCAGGCUUAAAUACUGGUGGUAAUGAGGCUGAUUGGAGACAGGUGCUGAAAACAGAGAGGGGAGGGGGGAGAGAGAGAUGACGGAAAGAGCUCUCCAGGCUACUAUAAUGGAACUGCAGGGCAGUAUACAUUGUAUUUUCUUCAAAAUAUAUUGAAUUAUAAACAAUUUAAAAGCAAAUCUUGGAUUUCACUAAUGGCGGGGGGCGAACUUGGUUUCGAACCUUUUAGUGCAGUAGUUUUUACUUUGUUUCCCAGCGUGCUUGCUUUCUUUUAAGGAUUAAAUUGUUCAGUUGUUUGUGUUGCUAUUAACUGGCCUACCUGGAUGCAAACUAGUCUUUACGUUACAUGACAGUGGGACUGCAACUAACUAUUAAUAAACGAUUAAUCUGUCAAUUAAUUUUUCUUUUAAUUGAUAAUCAGAUACCAAAAAAAAAACGUAAAAAUUUCUAUCCCUUUAUAAAAAAACAGGACACUUCAAAUUGGCAGUGCAAAAAAUGCAGAAAAAGAUAAUUCAUUUCAUAAUCGAUUAGUUGUAGAUUAAUGGAUUUAUUGUUACUCUUCCACAUGAAAGGUUACGAGCGAUAUCAAGUUGGAACCCCCGUGCCCGCUAUAAGAUAACGACAUACUGUAGCGUUACAGUUGAUGGUGGACUUCCCAGCAUGCCUCGCAGCACUUUUAAAAUCAUGUUAGGAAUUAAUUGUUGUUUCCAGGUAGUAAUAAUGUUUGUGUGUUAUUUCCUUUUAGUGUUACAUAUUUUGUUCGUACAGUGAGUGGGUUUGGUGUUAUUUGUAGUGAUGUUGGUUUUCAACUGUGUGUGAGUGACUGCAAUGUAGUUAUUUUGCACUGAAUCACUAAAAUAUUUACUACAUUGAAAAGAGUUUGUUCACAGGAUUGUCCAGUACUUGUUCAGGUCCUGAUUUAUUGCACUCCACUCUGCUAUUAUUUUGAACACUGCCCGUUCAAAUAAUUAUUAAACUACACAGACAUGCAUGCAUAUGAUGAAAGCUGGAUUUGUUUUGUUUUGUUUGUUUGUGUUUUCUGUGACUACGACACCUACCGGUAAAUUAUUUGCCAUGUCAAAACUUCUGCCCACAACGUCUUCAAUCAGGUUAGUCAUGUGGAACUGAUGUUGUUUUGAACACAACUGUAUCAUGACAAUAAAAGUCAUCUUGUGGUUCCUGUUUCUGCUCAUAUCCUCCCCCCGUAGACUUUUGAACCUGCUCAGAUACAGAGCCGCUCUCGCUUGGAUCAGGAGCGCCAAAACAGGAAAUAAACAAUAGAGGACGUUUAUCUUUGGCUUGAUCAAGUUACACUAGGACAUGAUUGAUUUAAAAGACUGAAGAAUAUGAAAUACAAACAAGCCCUUCGUGUUUUCCUCUUCAAUACUGGGAAUUCUCUGCCAUCGAUGAAUUUGUCUUUGCCCCGUGUUACCUCUGCCCCACACCCAACACUUCUUUUGCAGGGAUUAAGUUGAUUUAGUGUAUAAUGAAUUACCUCCACCUACUUUAAUUAUUAUUAUUAUUAUUUUACACUUCUAAACAUCCGGUCCUCUCAUCAGACUGGUUGAGUUCUGUAUUGCACCUACUAUCUCCUCAGCUGCAUUAGGGUUUGACUGCAUCCCCGAGAAUAAAUCGGCCACUUUAUAUAUUUCAGUACAAUCAGGAAUGGCUAUGUCCUACCCGUAUUUGUCCACGCGGGGGCAGCAUUGCCAAGUUGUAGAGGUCUAAUGUGCCAACAGGGUUGGAGCAUCCUCAAGGCAAUGUACUUCUACUAGGAACUGUGCGACAAUAAAAUUUCAGUGAUUUAUUUUUUAUUCCGAUUGACAGAAUCUCACUCUAUAUUUUUUUUGGCAUGCUACUGACAACAUUAAUUUCAGACACUUGUUUUCUGAAGCCUUAUUUUUUUAUUUUUUUUGUCCCCACUAAUUAUUGAUGAACUGCUAACAGUGACACUGCUGGAGAAAUCAGGGAUAGUGUGACGUCACACAAGACUAGAAACAUUUCAGAGGAGGAAUCUGGGAAAGAACUAAAAACAAAAAACAAAAAAGUCCUCUGCAAAUCAGGACCUUGCCCUUUUAAAAAAAAAAAAAAAAAAAAUCAAAUUGUACUCUCCACAUCCUUCAGCCCUGUGCCUCGUUUUCUUGGUUCUUGUUGCUGGUCUCCAAUGGCGCUGGUGUUUCUCCAGCCACUUUGAGAGAAAUGCGCCAUCCAUCGGUUUGGCUAUUUACAAUCAAAAUGAUGGAGUGAUGUCAUUUCUUUGUGUUUUGCUCCAUGAAAUUGUGGGGUAGGUCUCUCGCUCUGUUUGUCACCAUUCUGUCUUAAUCCUCGUUUUUUUUAUUUUUAUUUUUUUUCUUCCCCCCCCCUGAACUUAAGUUUGCUAAAUCUCUCAUGUCGACCGUAAUGCUAAGCUUUAACGUAGGAGCCUAUAUAUUCAUGGAGAAAGCCUAAAAAUGUAUAACCUAAUCAUAACUGUAACUGAUUUAGUAUCAAGUAAGGAGGGAAAAAAAUGAAAAGUGGAUUUAUGUGGGAUUUUUGGAUGGUUUAUUUGAUGCAAGAUACAAAACCAGAAUGCAGUCACCAAAAGUGUUUGCGUGCGUGUCAAACUGGAAUCUGGUGGGUGUGUUGAUCACGUGUGUAACGGUCGGGUUACUCGCAGCCAUCAAAGAAUGGAAAUUAGAAACGCCCCUGUCAAUUGUGCGUUUUGAGCGAUGUCAAAUCCAAAUCGAUUUGUGCCCGCUCACUCAUGCGAUUAUGCUGUACAUCGACUGCUCCCAAUUAUAUUUUUAUCUUGACAUGCACUCACCUCGUUCACACCGUGUUGCUUCAUCUUACCCGGCCGGUAAAGGAAAAUGUUCGCUUUGAGGUGAUACUGAUUCUGAUGAAAAGCUUAGUCACUUUAUUCUCAUGUGGGCAUUUGUGACACCGCAACUAUUUUUAUUUAAUUUUUUUAACCUGCCUGUUAAGUGUGGUUUCCACGGAAACUGACCUUUUGACAGCAUCUCCUUUUCUGCAUAAUGAACACCCUUCAAGCCUUUUUUUUUUUCACCGUGUCUGUUCGCUCCAUUUCAGUGGUGGGGAAGGUGAGGUUGCUGUUUGUUGUUUGUUUUGUUUUUGGGAGGGGUGCUCUCUUAAAGAUGCCAUCACCGAAGUCAUUAAAUGCUUGCGUUGCUCUAAGGACAAGAUUGACGUGCACGUUAAUGGUAAACGGCAGAGGAAUCCGUUUAGCCAUGAACGGAUGUAUCACAAAGAUUAAUGACGUAAAAUGAAAAUUCUCUUCUAGACCACAGUAGUAGUGGAAAUAUUGUUCGACAGAUGUAUCUUCUUUUUUUCUUGAUAGAAGAAAUCAAGCCUUAAUAAACUGUCCAUUCAAAAAUGA